rnacentral:rRNA from 1 species
GACGAACGCUGGCGGCGUGCUUAACACAUGCAAGUCGAACGCUGAAGCUCAGCUUGCUGGGUGGAUGAGUGGCGAACGGGUGAGUAACACGUGAGUAACCUGCCCUCUUCUUUGGGAUAACGCCCGGAAACGGGUGCUAAUACUGGAUAUUCACUGAUUCUCGCAUGGGGGUUGGUGGAAAGGUUUUUUCUGGUGGGGGAUGGGCUCGCGGCCUAUCAGCUUGUUGGUGGGGUGAUGGCCUACCAAGGCUUUGACGGGUAGCCGGCCUGAGAGGGUGACCGGUCACAUUGGGAGUGAGAAUCGGGCCAGACUCCUACGGGAGGCAGCAGUGGGGGAUAUUGCACAAUAGGCGAAAGCCUUGUGCAGCGGCGCCGCGUGGGGGAGGGAGGCCUUGGGGUUGUAAACCUCUUUCGCUCAUGGUCAAGCCGCAGCUUUGGGUUGUGGUGAGGGUAGUGGGUAAAGAAGCGCCGGCUAACUACGUG